rnacentral:rRNA from 1 species
GACGAACGCUGGCGGCGUGCUUAACACAUGCAAGUCGAACGGAAAGGCCCAGCUUGCUGGGUGCUCGAGUGGCGAACGGGUGAGUAACACGUGGGUGAUCUGCCCCUAACUUCGGGAUAAGCUUGGGAAACUGGGUCUAAUACCGGAUAGGACAAUCGUUUAGUGUCGGUUGCGGAAAGUUUUUUCGGUUAGGGAUGAGCCCGCGGCCUAUCAGCUUGUUGGUGGGGUAAUGGCCUACCAAGGCGUCGACGGGUAGCCGGCCUGAGAGGGUGGACGGCCACAUUGGGACUGAGAUACGGCCCAGACUCCUACGGGAGGCAGCAGUGGGGAAUAUUGCACAAUGGGCGCAAGCCUGAUGCAGCGACGCCGCGUGGGGGAUGACGGCCUUCGGGUUGUAAACCUCUUUCGACAGGGACGAAGCUUUGGUGACGGUACCUGUAGAAGAAGCACCGGCUAACUACGUG